UGGUCCGCUGCGCCGGCACUCAGCAAGGGAGGCUCCAGCAAGACCACAUCGGCAGCCGUUGUCGCUCAGGUAAAAAAUCCAUCGGUGCUUGAUGCAUCUGUACAAAUGUUUGUGUGAGCUUGUUGCUACUACGCUACUAAUAGCAAGCCUGAAUGACAUUGUUGGUAGUAAUUAGCAGCUGGGCAUGCUCCAAUUGUCGGGCUGGGUACGCUGAAGUGCAUUUUCUAAUUAAACCACAGGUCAGGCAUCUAUAUAUGAUGCUAUGCAUCCUUACAUAUGCACUUUGGUAGAACUUGGCAGCAUAUAACAACUUCAUAGAUAAAAAAAUUAAACUGACAACAAGUAUCCACUUAGUACAUGGAAUUCAAUGUCAUAAAAAGGACUGCUCGGUUCAAAUGGCAUAACAGUUUAAUCUGAGUUUACAUCAAGCAAAUUAACAAUAAUUCUGAGUUCGUAUCUCAGAAAUUACAUCUUCUUCCCGGCAAAAUUUUUUUACAUCUUCUUCCUCCUUGGGGUCAUUUUUUUCUUGCAUGCCGUAGAGCUUGAAGGGAUGUAAGAAGUAGGUGAUGGUACAGAAACAUUCGUUGUUCCAGAUGGUUGUGAUGCAUCGCCUUCGGCUAUGGCCAUAGCAAGUCUCCUGCAUGUUUACACAUCAGUUACGAAAGCAGGAUUUCUUUUGCAUGAAUCAAAUGUGCAUAUGGAAAAUAUAAACAGUUACCUCCUUGUAAUAGGCCCAGGGCUGUUAUGAAGGCUGGGAGGCACUGUGAUUGUUGUUGUGCGUGUGGGUGUCGCAACAACAGCUGGAGCGAGCUCGUGAGCAGACACGUCGCUAGAAAGUUCAAUCACACAUGACAUUAGAAAUGGUAUACUAAUACUAAUUUCAUACUAAUGUAGAUGAUAUAUAGUAGUAGUAGUAGUACUAGUACAUGGGUUACCUUUUAUUUAGCUUCCUUCUUUUUACAAGUUGCUUUUCUGUGCCCCAAGAUUCCACAUUGUUUGCACCUGUUUUUGGUGCCAAAUCUCUUCUUUUCUUUUUCCUUCUGUUUGGCACCACCUUCUUGCUCAUUUCGUUUGCCAUCAUCAUCUUUUUUCUUCCGUUUGCCACCACCACCGUCUUCAAGGAAACUUUUGAUGCUCUGCUUCCUCCUUCUCCCAACAGAGCUUUUUAAAUCUGGUGGUAUCAUCUCAAAAUCUAGAGUAACUUGAGGCCAUUGAGACUUGUCUGUGAUUGGUUCAAUCUCUCCUGCAUAGGCAGCCCGGAACCUACUCACAGAGUAGUAGUCAUGCACAUAUGGUUGAAAGUUCACAUCUGCUCUCUCUAUAAGAAAUGCAAGUGCAUGCUCACAGGGCUUUUCAAUGUGCUUCCAUUCUAGGCAAGUGCACUCAUAGGUACGUAUUUUGACAACGUGGCUAAGAUUCUUCUUGCUGGUGUCCUUGACCUCACAACUUUCUUCGGUUGAUCUUCCAACAACCAAAUGGUCAAGUUGUCUAGUUCUAUUAUUUAUUUGUUGAAUGAUGGCAGGCAGCGUCUCUCCCUGGAGCAUUUCCCCAAUCCUUCUCCUCCUCUCAACAAGUAUCAUAAUUUUCUCUCUUAUUUUGUCUGCUAGCUCAUCCAUGGGCAGAUCCUUUGUUCCUUUGAUCCAGCUAUUGAAGCACUCAGCUAGAUUAUUGUGAAUGUAAUCACAUUUUAUUUCUGUGUUGAAGUCGCAUCUCAUCCACUUCAAAUUAUGAUAAGUACACAAGUAGGUACUCACUGUAGGUUCAGCUUCGAAAAUCUUGCCCAUAUGGUAGUUAAAUUUUUCUAGACGGUAAGCCUUGGCUGCUGGCCACAUGCGACCAAAAACAUCUCCAUGAAACUUCUUUUGAAGUUUGCCAUUAGAUGCCUAAAGCAUUCCCUUUGCUCAGCUUGAGGAAAAACAAUUUUAACCGCACUCUCUAACUCUUUGCAUGCAUCAGUACAAAUAGCUAGAGUUUGAAGAUGUCCUAUUGCCUUAUGUAGUUGUUGCAUAAACCAAACCCAGUUCUCCUCAGUCUCCGUACCAAAGAAACCAAAUGCUAAAGGAAACAUCCAGUUUUGUCCGUCUAGUGUUGUACAUGCCACCAAUUGACCAUUCCACUUUCCAGUCAAAUGUGUGGAGUCUAUACUGAGAUAUGGUCUACAACCAGCUAAAAGCCAUCAAUGCUUGGCUUAAGUGCCAUAAAAAAUCUCCGGAAAUACACUCCACCUUUUCCCCUCUUGACAUCAACCUCAACAAUGCUACCCGGAGAUCUCUUAUCAAUCUCAGCUUUGAAGUUGAAUAAAUUCUGAAAGCUUUUUCCCCAUGUUCCAUAUAACAUUUUUGCGGCCCUUUCUUUUCCCUUUUGAACAAUAUCAUACCCAAUAGUACAUUUGUACUCUGCUUGUAGCUUUUUUAGGAGCUCCAUGCCACCAAUUUUUGGUUCACUUUGAAGAUACCCAAUUGCCUUUUCUGCCACCCAUGCUUGGUCUGCCAUGCUUGUAAUCACUUUGGCGGUUGAUGAACACUUAUGAGGCUUUACUAUCUUGUUAACCUGCACAAUAGCAACCAUUAGGUGCAAGUAAUUUUUAAAAAUUGUUUCAACAUAAAAAAUGAUUAGUGUUAGAUAAGUUUGUACCCUGACUGUUUUUCCAUCUUCUAUCGUUCUAGCAAUUAUAUACGCCAAGGACAUACAUUUCCUUUACAGUGACCCACAUAUCUAGUAGUGUCACUAUCCUUGGUCUUAAUGUCAAACUUACCUCUAAUAGCAAAUAUUCUCAUAAGCAUCCUAAACUCUUUCAUCGAACGAAACAAAGAACCUUCCUCUAUCACAGGAUGUUCCUUAUCAUACCAAAAGUGAUCAUCUUCAGGCAUAUGGUCAGGCACUGGAAGAGCCGCAUCAGCAAGUAAGUCCUCAUUAAUAUCAGCUACACAUGCAUCAACAUUUGCAAUCGAGGCUUUGAUGGCUGCUUCAGAUACACAUUUUCGUUGCACAGGUCCAUCGUUGAUUCCAAGCACCGAGCACAUAUUCUCUUCUGUUAUAGGAACAUCAAUUUCGUCAUCAUUCAUUGGUGCUAUCUCUAUCUGAGACCAGUCAAUGCCUCCUUCUGUUGUUGAUACAUAUGUAUCAUUGCUAGCAACCGUCGUUCGCCUACUUGGAGAAGAAAUAAGCAUUUUAACACAAGGACAUCAUACAAUUACUUACAAAAUAUUACAUCAAAAAAUAAAAACUAUGCUAGAUCUGAAGUAUUUUUUCAGGCUUCAUCUGAGUUUACUGUACUUUCUAUGCAGGUUCAUCAACGCCAUAUGGGAGGGAGGGUCUGAGGCGGAAGGGAGGACCAAAUGCUUACCAAUCUGGAGCCUCUUGUGGCGAUCCAUGGAUACAGGAGUUGCCUCGUCUGGCACUAUGUGGAAUCACCUUGCCGGCUGCUGGUGUGAACCCUCGCUGCCCAGGGGUCGCCGGAGUUGAUGGCUUGGUGGCCGUUGUGGCCGCCGGAGUUGACGGCUUGGUGGCCGGCUGUCCCGGGGGCGCCGGAGUUGACGGCUUGGUGUCCGGCUGUCCAGGGGCCGCCGGAGUUGACGGCUUGGUGGCCGGCGGUGCAUCCGCCUGUCCGCUGGGCAUGAACAUGAUGAUGCAACGUAAUAGAAUCAAUCUACGAUUUCUUGAUCAGUUGGUUCUGUUGUGUAUACCAACGUAAAGAGGGAAGGAGACUAGGAAAUAAUUGCAAUUUGCCACAAGGGCAGUCGGGUCAUUUCGCAUGGUGAUAAUUGGGAUAAAAACUGAGAAAUGAUUACAAUAAUUAAAAAGGGCAUAUU
rnacentral:lncRNA from 1 species